rnacentral:tRNA from 1 species
UCCUGACUGGCUCAGUCAGUAGAGCAUAUGACUCUUGAUCGCAGGGUUGUGAGUUCGAGCCCCAUGUUGGGUA